UAUGCUAGACAGAUGUGAGGUGAUAUUCUUGAGUGAGUUUGUACGAGUCGUUAAGGAGACUGACUUGGAUUCUGCUGGUCAACGCUUGCACAGGUUCAAGUCCUGAUUGGUAAAAUUCCUGAUUCUCGAAAGGCAAAAGCUUUUGAAACAGGUUCAACUGCCAGUGAUUCGGCAUCCCCUGCUGAUGAUUCUGAGCUUGAGACGUUAGAAGAGCAAGCCUCGAAAUUAUGAAAGCAUGAUGAAUUGUUGAGUUUGUUCAUUUUGGUUUGAUACUAUUCAUAUAACAAUCAAACGUUGCAAGCUGCACUUAUCAGGUUAAAUCUUCUAUUGCAUAUAUGCACACAACUCAUUUGCAGAUUCAAAUGACAUA